rnacentral:rRNA from 1 species
ACGGGUGAGUAACGCGUGAGUAACCUGCCUUCAAGAGGGGGAUAACAUUCUGAAAAGAAUGCUAACACCGCAUGACAUAUCGGAACCACAUGGUUUUGAUAUCAAAGAUUUUAUCGCUUGAAGAUGGACUCGCGUCCGAUUAGUUAGUUGGUGAGGUAACGGCUCACCAAGACCGCGAUCGGUAGCCGGACUGAGAGGUUGAACGGCCACAUUGGGACUGAGACACGGCCCAGACUCCUACGGGAGGCAGCAUG